ACUAUGUGUUGUUGGGUAGGGGAGCGUUCUGUAAGCCUGUGAAGGUGUGUCGUGAGGCAUGCUGGAGGUAUCAGAAGUGCGAAUGCUGACAUAAGUAACGAUAAAGCGGGUGAAAAGCCCGCUCGCCGGAAGACCAAGGGUUCCUGUCCAACGUUAAUCGGGGCAGGGUGAGUCGACCCCUAAGGCGAGGCCGAAAGGCGUAGUCGAUGGGAAACGGGUUAAUAUUCCCGUACUUGGUGUUACUGCGAAGGGGGGACGGAGAAGGCUAUGUUGGCCGGGCGACGGUUGUCCCGGUUUAAGCGUGUAGGUGUGUGUUCCAGGUAAAUCCGGUUCACUUUAACACUGAGGCGUGACGACGAGGCACUACGGUGCUGAAGCAACAAAUGCCCUGCUUCCAGGAAAAGCCUCUAAGCAUCAGGUAACAUCAAAUCGUACCCCAAACCGACACAGGUGGUCAGGUAGAGAAUACCAAGGCGCUUGAGAGAACUCGGGUGAAGGAACUAGGCAAAAUGGUGCCGUAACUUCGGGAGAAGGCACGCUGACACGUAGGUGAAGUGAUUUACUCAUGGAGCUGAAGUCAGUCGAAGAUACCAGCUGGCUGCAACUGUUUAUUAAAAACACAGCACUGUGCAAACACGAAAGUGGACGUAUACGGUGUGACGCCUGCCCGGUGCCGGAAGGUUAAUUGAUGGGGUCAGCGCAAGCGAAGCUCCUGAUCGAAGCCCCGGUAAACGGCGGCCGUAACUAUAACGGUCCUAAGGUAGCGAAAUUCCUUGUCGGGUAAGUUCCGACCUGCACGAAUGGCGUAAUGAUGGCCAGGCUGUCUCCACCCGAGACUCAGUGAAAUUGAACUCGCUGUGAAGAUGCAGUGUACCCGCGGCAAGACGGAAAGACCCCGUGAACCUUUACUAUAGCUUGACACUGAACAUUGAGCCUUGAUGUGUAGGAUAGGUGGGAGGCUUUGAAGUGUGGACGCCAGUCUGCAUGGAGCCGACCUUGAAAUACCACCCUUUAAUGUUUGAUGUUCUAACGUGGACCCGUGAUCCGGGUUGCGGACAGUGUCUGGUGGGUAGUUUGACUGGGGCGGUCUCCUCCUAAAGAGUAACGGAGGAGCACGAAGGUUGGCUAAUCCUGGUCGGACAUCAGGAGGUUAGUGCAAUGGCAUAAGCCAGCUUGAC
rnacentral:rRNA from 1 species